rnacentral:tRNA from 1 species
GGAUCGUUAGCUCAGUUGGUAGAGCAGCUGACUCUUAAUCAGCGGGUCAUGGGUUCGAGCCCCCUACGAUCCA